rnacentral:rRNA from 1 species
CACGUAGGGGACGAGCGUUGUCCGGAUUCAUUGGGCGUAAAGCGCGCGUAGGCGGCUCGGAAAGUCGGUCGUGAAAUGCCGGGGCUCAACCCCGGGACUGCGUCCGAUACUCCCGAGCUGGAGGCAGGUAGGGGAGAUCGGAAUUCCUGGUGUAGCGGUGAAAUGCGCAGAUAUCAGGAGGAACACCGGUGGCGAAGGCGGCUCUCUGGUACGUGACUGACGCUGAGACGCGAAAGCGUGGGGAGCAAACAGG